AAUUGUAUGGAUCAGCUUGGCGUUGUACCUAGAAGCUUCAUAGAGAAUCUUGCUGAGACUAAGGACAGGUUUAAGAAAUUUCUCCUCAAAGAAGGCACAUCAGAAAGUCGUCAGAAUCAGAACAAGAGGCUUUUGAAUGAAGAUGCCUUCUUGGCUUUAAUCCUGCGUGUGACAGAGCAAGGCUGAACACUGUAAUGAGGCUACAUUUUGUUCUUUACAUGAAUUGAUUGCUGGGGAAGAUGUCUGAUUGACAGCCCAAGGGAAAGAUCAGGUACUGUGUGCGCAGCAUCUAAAGUAACCUUUUGCUUCUUGUUGCCCACUGCGAAUGUGCUUUCCUGAGCUGGAAAGGAAGAUAGCAAUUCACUUUAAGUGCAGGUGCAAUCCUUGGCUUUUGCGCUGAGAUUACAGACAGUGAUGCUGUUGGGAGAGGUGCCUUAAUGAUGUAAAGCUCAAAUGAAAUGAUUGGUAUCUCCUCCCCUUGAAAAGCUACCUCUAUUUUGGGCAUGCUGAUUUUUAUGGUAGGUGAGGCAAAUAUCUCCAUAACUCAUCAUCAGUGCUCUGACUUAGCUAGUAGUUGGCGGUAACAAAUCAUUAGGCAGCCUCACUACCUCAGCUUGCAGUUAAUGAGAGCAAGAAAGAAUUAAGAGCAGGUCAAACCAGGGGCCUCGAGAACAGACACUCUCUCAUGGUCCAGAUUGGGCGCCGAAAGGAAGAGAUGUGCUGAUUAGGCAACACUGCUAACUGUUGACAGGGGACAUGAUGGCCUCCUAUGGGGACUGUACUUUGCAAUAAACCUGGGCUCUUUUCCCCUCUGGCUACCGGAGGAAAAAUGUUCAAGUUAGGACUGGUGCAGUCAGAGGGACAUAUGACAGGUUAAAUAUGAUGCAGUUCUGCAUCUCAGGAUGGACUGGAGCCCAGCUCCUCCAGUUGUGAUCACACCCCGAUACUAUGCAUGGUCAAGUACGUAUGUGUGACUGAGAGUUCUGUUCGGUGCUGUAAUAAAGUGCAGGGCUCUGAUUUAUGUUUUAGUCUGGAUUAAAAGCAGAAAAACUGAAAGGCAAAAGUGGUUGGAAGGGAUUUCAUUACGGUGCCACAUUAAUGUUAAUUCUUACGGUACCACAAAACACAGCAUGUGUACAGUUUAACAGCUGCAUAAACAAUUGAUAUUUCCUGAUUCUUUAUAGAAAACUUCUGUCUGUACUGUUCCAUUAACUUAGUUUUAAAACUUUUAAACCUUCAUGUUACAAGCCUGAGCUGAUCCAAUAUGACCUGUAUGAGCUGUUGCUUUUCUCAUAGAAACCACAAACACAGUUAUGUAUCUCAGCUGUGAAACAGUCUUAUUUACUGCUGAUCAUGAGCUAUGGUUUUUGCCAAGUAGUGGCGACACUUCCACAGAUUUCAUUUUGUGACUCACACAGGCUCUAAAAUACCAUAUUCUCUAUUUGGGGCUUUCUGAGAAAAAUGCAUCACGCUUGGAAAAUGUUCUCAUUCAGGAAAUGACUGCUUUGCCACACUAUUUUUUAAGCAUGGAUAUUGCUACUGGAAAUAAGAAUUGUUUAUUGAGGAUCCAACAAGAAGCUACCAAGACGGUGAAGGACUAGCUAAGAUGGACAUGAUCUCCAAGAUGAAGCUGAGGGAGUUGGGUUUGUGCUGUCUGGAUGUGGGAGGCACCAGCAAAUCGCUGCCUUCAGCUACAUGACAAGUAGUUACACAGAAGAUGGUUCUAUAUUGUUUUUAGUAGUACCAGAUGACAGACUAAGGGAAAAGGGCCUCAGGUUGUAGCAUGGCAGGUUCAGGCGUGUUAGAAAAAGCAUCUCUGGGAUGAUGGGCAGCAUUGGAGCAUGUCAACAGAGAUAAGGAACAAUCUCCAUCCUCUGAGGUUUGCAAAACUUGCAUGUAUGUGUUGACAACAGGCCUUGCUAAAGCAAGAGGCUGGACUGAAGACCUGCAAGAGGUCUUUUCAGUUUCUGUGAUUUCAUGAAAAACUACUGAAUUGCUUGGGUGAUGGGGGACAUGUACUUUAGGUUACAAGUGAUGACUCAUGUCAUAAAGAAACAGUGCUGUAUUGCCUGGAGAAAGGGAAGAGGAAUGGUAGGAGGGAAAUAGGAGGUGAAAUGGAAAAAUAAAUGACUACUUUCUCUGAAGUGCACAGCUGGCAACUGAAACCCUCCUCUAUGAGGUGUGGGAUCGCUGGGAGCCCCAUGUUCUCUGUCCUGUCUGCAGCUGCUUAAGGUUGAUGGCAUGAAAUUGUGCAGCAAGCAAUUUGGGUUAGCGAGGAGGGAAGCCUCCCUGGAUCUACAGCCUGUCUGCUUGUUGGGUGCUCAGAUGAGCUGUUCCUCUUUGCCAGCCCUUCAGAGCUGCUCUGAGUGACUUCAGCUCCCGGGAGGCUUGUUGGAGCUCACAGACACGCACACGGCCUGCUGGAGGAUGGAGCCUCCUCAGGGAAAUCUUAACCUCUCUGGCGCUGAGGUGCUUUGCAGCCUGAGGCUAUGAGCUGUUGAAUAACAUUAUAAUGGCUUCUCGACAUGGGCAGGUUGGCCUGCUUUGAAAGUAUAAUAGAGCAAUUCUACCGUAAUUCCCUCAAAAUUCUCAGUGGUACUUAUUUACCUGGUACGCAUUCAAAUAUAUCGAAGCAUGAGGGAGAAAUUACCAUAUUAAGGCACGCCUCAUGGCUCCUGCUGUUCCAUUUCUUCUUUCUAUCAAGUACCAGUGGAAUAUCUGCCAGGUUUUUGAUCUCUCUUGAAUUCAUAGGGGAGAGCAGCUGUUUUUUUUGUUAGACCUUGAAUUGCCACUUUACCUUAAAAAAAAAAAAAAAAAGUGAAUGAGAAGCCUUGUAUAGCUUCAGACAUAAGGUAGGAACCUGAAUAUUUUAAAACCGGCUUUUUAAAAAAAUUCAUUGUGCCACAAUCAGCAUGUGAAAAGAAAUAGUGGAGUGUCUGCAAAGCUGAUGGAUUUCCUGUGGGUAUUUUCAGCUAUCCUCCAUCCACUGAAAACUAGGGCAAAUUACAGCUGAAACAGGGGAGGGUUAGGCUGAAUUAAGAUGUGAAUUUUGUUAAGCAGGUGGAUAUCUGAUUGUGGACUAUGGGCAUAGGUUGGUAGGAAUAAAACAAUAUUAAAUGGUGUUCCUGACAAUAGAAGUGGGACUUUAACAUAACUGUUAUUAUCAGAUUGUGGUAAAAUGACUAUAAAGGCCGUAAUGUGCUUGGAAAAUGUAAGAGCAAGAGUUGUGUUCUGUUGAGAAGGAUGCAAAGCAGUGCUGGGAAAUAUCUCCAGUGAAAGGAGUGGUUUCUCAUGCCUGCUUUAAACUAAGCAGUAUGAAAUACGAUGCAUUACAGUGGAUUAGAUUGGUGUCUAUAUAUCUGAUAUAGUAAAAGAGUAAAGGGGCAUGGACAAGUCUCGAUGCUCUGAAUAACAGAGCAGAGACUGCUGAGAGAUGACCACGUUACUGGUAAUUUGAGUGAUCUGAGCUGCAGGUGUUGGAUGCACCUAUAUCUUGGUGUGAAGAAUCUGCUGUAAAUGUCUGCAUUGGUUAAAUAACUCUUUUU